UGGAUAUCGAUGACUGAUUACCUGAGAAAUAAUUGAUGAAAUCUCAAGAAAAUUCCUCUAGAUAGUCAAGUUCUGAUCCAG
rnacentral:snoRNA from 2 species